rnacentral:rRNA from 1 species
AAAUGAAUAGACGGGGACCCGCACAAGCAGCGGAGCAUGUGGUUUAAUUCGAUGCAACGCGAAGAACCUUACCAGGCCUUGACAUCCCUUGACCAUCUAAGAGAUUAGAUUUUCCCUUCGGGGACAAGGAGACAGAUGGUGCAUGGUUGUCGUCAGCUCGUGUCGUGAGAUGUUGGGUUAAGUCCCGCAACGAGCGCAACCCCUAUAGUCAGUUGCCAUCAUUCAGUUGGGCACUCUGGCCAGACUGCCCGUGAAAGCGGGAGGAAGGUGGGGAUGACGUCAAAUCAGCAUGCCUCUUACGGCCUGGGCUACACACGUGCUACAAUGGUCAGAACAAAGAGUUGCUAAACGGCGACGUCAAGCUAAUCUCAAAAAUCUGGUCUCAGUUCAGACUGCAGGCUGCAACUCGCCUGCACGAAGUUGGAGUUGCUAGUAAUCGCGGAUCAGAAUGCCGCGGUGAAUGCGUUCCCGGGUCUUGUACACACCGCCCGU